AGAAGGGAAACAUUAACCCUUUAUUAGCACUUUACUUUCCAUCGGUAGCCAACGAAAAUGACGGCUGCUCCGGCCCCUGCUGGACCACAACCAGCGCAAACCUAAAGGUUCCUAAGGCCAUAGAUGUAGGACCAGAGGGACUUUGAUCCUGAAAAAUUCCAUCUUCUCCACAAAGUUUUGAUCCAUUCAGCUUCACCGCCUCCCACUCUCUUCUCCAAAUUCCUAUUCCAUUUAUCUUUUACCCCUCACGGAUGACAGUUCUUUGUCUUAUGUGGAUAAAGGGGGUAAAGCAGGAAGCCAGGAUCUGAGAUCCCCUUCAACUAGACAGUAGCUCAAAACAAGCAGAUCUUAUUGAAUUGCUUUAGAAAUACAAUUCAAAGACUGUGCCAAAAUCACCGCAGGGGAAUGUGAUAUGUAUUGUAAUGUGUGAAGGAGAGAUGGAAAAAAAGUCUGCAGCAAAGGCUGGAAAAGCAAGGACUCCAGAACCUGUCAGUCAAGAUGAACAUUCUAUUUAGAAUGGGGACCAGGAAGGACCAUUGAAAAAGGAGGAAGCAAACUGAAAAACUGAGUCUCUGCUUUGGGACAGGAAAGAGGAAGGACAAAAGUCCUGCUCUCUUGUUUCUCUCUGCUAUACUAUAGUGAACUUGAAUCUUCAAGACCCGUUGACCAUUUUCCCAUAUCUGAACUAUAUUCCACCAUCCUCCAACUUCAGGAUUGUUUAGUAUAAGGGAAACCCCAAACCCUCUCUCCCCUCAACUUCUUUUCCUUUCCCCUUCUUUUAAAUAAACCCCUUACUUAAAUCUUGGAGAAGAGAAAGAGUGAUUUAUCUGAUCUACCAAAAGACUCACUCUGAACUGAUUUCAGUGAGAUCAACAGAAGACUCAAAUAGGGAGGGGAAGGAAGGAGGGAGGAGGAACAAAGAGAGAGGAAAAGGGAGGGGAAGGAAGGAAGGAGGAGAUUGGCAGAUCUGAUCUUGAAAUCACCAUCUCUCACUUAAAUUAUCCCCUAAUCUAGUAUCUACAUAAGGAAGUAAAACAAAGAGUCUCUAUUUGAGAGUUAAGCAUGAUGCCAUUAAUGAUAAUAAAGAUCUAAUAAACUUAGCAAAAUGAUUUUGCCUAAAUUUAAUUGACCUUUGUUAAUUUUGUCUCAUUCUCAUUCUUUUUUGGUAUUUUUGUUCUUUGAUCUUCCCUUUAUAGCAAUCAAAAGGAGAAACACAGGAAACUGGAUGGAAUAAUGGUGGAAGGAAAAGAAAAGAGAGGGAAGUAGAGGAAUGAAUGAGAUUGGGCAAGAUACUUGAAUGGAAAGAAAGAAAUCAGCUGAUAGAGAGAAGGAAAAUCCUAGGUUACUAGAUUUCAGUAUCCAUGAUGGCA